GUAUGAUGAGAAUAUCAGCUGGCACCAGUCAUAGGGCGACUUGUACUCCCUUCCUUUGAUGACAACCUUUUGCUGUGGUCCACCAGGCCAUCUCUGAU
rnacentral:snoRNA from 1 species